rnacentral:rRNA from 1 species
AUUGAACGCUGGCGGCAUGCUUUACACAUGCAAGUCGAACGGCAGCGCGGGCUUCGGCCUGGCGGCGAGUGGCGAACGGGUGGGUAAUACAUCGGAACGUGCCCAGUAGUGGGGGAUAGCUCGGCGAAAGCCGGAUUAAUACCGCAUACGACCUGAGGGUGAAAGCGGGGGAUCUUCGGACCUCGCGCUAUUGGAGCGGCCGAUGGCAGAUUAGCUAGUUGGUGGGGUAAAGGCCUACCAAGGCGACGAUCUGUAGCUGGUCUGAGAGGACGACCUGCCACACUGGAACUGAGACACGGCCCAGACUCCUACGGGAGGCAGCAGUGGGGAAUUUUGGACAAUGGGCGAAAGCCUGAUCCAGCAAUGCCGCGUGUGUGAUGAAGGCCUUCGGGUUGUAAAGCACUUUUGGCGGGAACGAAAAGGACUGUGCCAAUACCACGGUUCGAUGACGGUACCCGCAGAAUAAGCACCGGCUAACUACGUG